rnacentral:lncRNA from 1 species
GUAGAAGCACUAUGACCUCUUGUAGAUAGGGUAUUCUCGAGUUGUGAGGAUUGGAUCAUACUCACUAGUCUGUUUACACUUGGCGUGGUCGCUCCACCCAAGUAGUGGUCUCCGGAGUACUUCACGAUAGGGGCAGACGUAGUUGUCCCGCAGACGGUCUCGGUGUGCGAGUGCAGUUUCUCCUCACCUAUGAGAUUGAAAGAGUGAGUCGGGGCGAACCUUCGGGCUAGCCAAGUUGAUUGAGUAAUGAACAUGAAUAGUAUAGUAGAAUUGCAUUCAUACCAUGAGUAAACAUAGUGUAUGUUAGUAGAUUGCAUAACUAUGUUGUUUUCAUAUCCAUGACACUGUUGAAGCAUACUAGCAUGAUAGUAGGUUGGUUGCUAGUUGGACACUUCAUGC